GCUCGCGUAGUGUAGCCCGGUCCAACACGCCUCCCUGUCACGGAGGAAACCACGGGUUCAAAUCCCGUCGCGAGCG
rnacentral:tRNA from 1 species